UCUCCUAACCCCAUUUCUCUCCUAACCCCUCCCCUUUUCUUUCCCACUACAUCCCUAAUGACUUGAGUAUCUCACAGCAGGCUGCCUCAGGGCUGGAUUAAUGCAGGGGUUAACCGGGGUUGAAGCCCCUGGGCCCAGGCCUUGGGGGGCCUGUCAUUCCAAAUAGUGUCCACCUGCCAAAAGGUGUCUUCCCAUGCCUCACAAUGGGAUUCAGUGAGUUCUAGCUUCUGUUGCUAGGGCUGUUGCUAGAACUUGCAAAAUUCUGACCGGUCUACGUAAUGAACCAAAGCAUCCGUUGCUCUGCUGGUUGCUUGGCUCCAUUUUACCUAGCGGUCAUGGAGGACAGAGGACGCGGGCAGUUCUAAUUCUAUUUCACCUCAUCAGCGCUCGCUCUGUCUGCACAAAAUUAUUAGCUCAGAAUUGCUCCCCAACGACAGUGUUUUUGACGGCGACUAACUGUUACCUGCUACCGACUGCUUCGGAGGACCGAGAAAACUGGAAAGAGAACACUCUUUCUUUACCAUAUAAAUGUCUUUAUAUAAGAAAAUAUUGUUAAAUAGGAUGAAAUAAUUUAAGCUGUUUUCAGAUUGACAUUGCUAGCUAAUGUACUUAUUUAGCUCAACCUGCCUAGUCAGCUAGCUAGCCAGACAGUGUUAUUUAGCUCAGCCUGCCUAGUCAGCUAGCUAGCCAGACAGUGUUAUUUAGCUCAGCCUGCCUAGUCAGCUAGCUAGCCAGACAGUGUUAUUUAGCUCAGCCUGCCUAGUCAGCUAGCUAGCCAGACAGUGUUAUUUAGCUAAUGUUAGCUAGCUAACUAACUGUUAUUGUAGCUUUCUGUUUGUAUGUGACUUGCACCUCAAUGAUUUUCUUUUAUCUUUCCAACCAGGCGAAGUACUAUGAAGACACCCCUGAUCUCGACAACAGAAAUUCACAUUUCAGGGCAAUCACAUGUACCUACGGGGGAAGGAUGGCCAGCCACACAGGAGGUUGAUUUUCACUAAGGACUAGAAGGAGGCUGUGCUGACCAAAAUGCAUGCUUGCCAUUUUGGAGUGAAGCGCAUGAUUGGCAAAAUAAACCUACGCUUCUUCUGUUGUGGGAUUGUCAAGGAUGUGGACAGCUGGGCAAGUGAAAUAACAAUCACAUUCUAUUAUAUCUGAAAGUAUUAUGAUUUCAACGACUGUCAUAAUCAAAGAACACACAAUGUUUAAAUGUGUCACUUUGUGCUUAAAAGGUCAGUACCCUGUCUAGCCUACCAGAAGUUUGAGAGGGUGAAGACUGUGGCGCUGGAGCACAAUUCACGUUUUGCCCUGAUAAGUUGUUUUGUAAUGGUUGCUUUAUUUGACCACAGGAGAUGUCAAUACUAUAGAAUGGGUGUGUGCCAGUAUCCUUAUAAAUAUGAACAUCUGCAUACUGUACGACACAGAUAUGGGAUGAGACUGGCGAGGCCACCUCCAAGGCCACCUCCAAGGUGACGAUGGACAUCUUCAACACCCACGGUUUUAGGCUGAGUUCAUCUUGAGUGACUGAGGUCGUGAACUCUGGAACAAUGCACAGAUGUUAUAGGUUAUAUUCUGUCACCAACGGUUUGUUUUGUUUCUCUUUUUAAAUUUGUUUUUCUAUGGUACAUAGUCAGACAUACACUACAUGACCAAAAGUAUGUGGACACCUGCUUGUCGAACAUCUCAUUCCAAAAUCAUAUCCAUUAAUAUGGAGUUUGUCCCCCCUUUGCUGCUAUAACAGCCUCCACUCUUCUGGGAAGACUUUCCACUAGAUGUUGGAACAUUGCUGCGGGGACUUAAUUCCAUUCAGCCACCUGAGACGUAGUGAGGUCGGGCACUGAUGUUGGCCGAUUAGGCCUGGCUCGCAGUCGGCGUUCCAUUUCAAAUCAAAGGUGUUCGAUGGGGUUGAAGUCAGGGCUCUGUGCAGGCCAGUCAAGUUCUUCCACACUGAUCUUGACAAACCAUUUCUGUAUGGACCUCGCUUUGUGCUCGGUGGCAUUGUCAUGCUGAAACAGGAAAGGGCCUUGCCCAAACUGUUGCCACAAGUUUGGAAGCACAGAAUCAUCUAGUAUGUCAUUGCAUGCUGUAGUGUUAAGAAGCCGGUUGGAUGUACUGCCAAAUUCUCUAAAACGACAUUGGAAGCGGCUUAUGGUAGAAAAAUGUACAUUCAAUUCUUUGGCAACACCUCUGGUGGACAUUCCUGCAGUCAGCAUGCCAAUUGCACGCUCCCUCAAAACUUGAGACAUCUGCACAUUUUAGAAUGGUCUUUUAUUGUCCCCAGCACAAGGUGCAUCAGUGUAAUGACCAUUUCAGGGAUUUUCUUUAUUUUUACUAUUUCCUACAUUGUAGAAUAAUAGUGAAGACAUCAAAACUAUGAAAUAACACAUGGAAUCAUGUAGUAACCAAAAAAGUGUUCUUCAAAUUAGCCAACUUUUGCCUUGAUGACAGCUUUAAACACUCUUGGCAUUCCCUCAACCAGCUUCAUGAGGUAGUCACCUGGAAUUCCUUUCAAUUAACAGGUGUGCCUUGUUAAAAUAUAAUUUGUAGAAUUUCUUUCCUUAAUGCGUUUGAGCCAAUUUGUGUUGUGACAAGGUAGGGGUGGUUAUACAAAAGAAGCCCUAUUUGGUAAAAAAAAAUAUAUAUAUCCAUAUUAUGACAAGAACAGCUCAAAUAAGAAAAGAGAAUAGUUGAAGUGUACCUAUGAUGAAAAUUACAGGCCUCAUCUUUUUAAGUGGGAGAACUUGCACAAUUGGUGGCUGACUAAAUACUUUUUUGCCCCACUUAUGUGGGAACUCUUUUGAGACUGUAGGAAAAGUGUUCCAGGUGAAGAUGUUUGAGAGAAUGCCAAGUGUGCAAAGCCAUCAUCAAGGCAAAGGUUGGUUACUUCGAAGAAUCUAAAAUCAAAAAUAAAUGUUGAUUUACUUAACACUGUUUUGGUUACUACAUGAUUCCAUAUGUGUUAUUUCAUCUUUUUGAUGUCUUUACUAUUGUUCUACAAUGUAGAAAAUAGUAAAAAGAAAGAAAAAGCAGGUGUCAACUUUUGACUGGAACUGUAUGUUCUUGUUUUGUUGCCUGUUUUGCAUGUUAUUUCGGCAUUCAUUUGUAUCACAAAUCAGUGUCCAAACAAUGUGAUAAAAAAAAAAAAAUAAAAGUUUAAAAAGGUAAUAA